rnacentral:rRNA from 1 species
UACGUAGGGUGCAGGCGUUAAUCGGAAUUACUGGGCGUAAAGCGUGCGCAGGCGGUUUGUUAAGACAGGUGUGAAAUCCCCGGGCUUAACCUGGGAAUUGCGCUUGUAACUGGCAAGCUAGAGUGUGGCAGAGGGGGGUGGAAUUCCACGUGUAGCAGUGAAAUGCGUAGAUAUGUGGAGGAACACCGAUGGCGAAGGCAGCCCCCUGGGUUAACACUGACGCUCAUGCACGAAAGCGUGGGGAGCAAACAGG